UGAUGAAACAGGUGGAGGAACUACAGUGUGAUGAAACAGGUAGAGGAACUACAGUGUGAUGAAACAGGUAGAUGAACUACAGUGUGAUGAAACAGGUGGAGGAACUACAGUGUGAUGAAACAGGUAGAGGAACUACAGUGUGAUGAAACAGGUAGAUGAACUACAGUGUGAUGAAACAGGUGGAGGAACUACAGUGUGAUGAAACAGGUAGAUGAACUACAGUGUGAUGAAACAGGUAGAUGAACUACAGUGUGAUGAAACAGGUGGAGGAACUACAGUGUGAUGAAACAGGUAGAUGAACUACAGUGUGAUGAAACAGGUGGAGGAACUACAGUGUGAUGAAACAGGUGGAGGAACUACAGUGUGAUGAAACAGGUGGAGGAACUACAGUGUUGUGAAACAGGUGGAGGAACUACAGUGUGAUGAAACAGGUGGAGGAACUAGUGUGUGAUGAAACAGGUGGAGGAACUACAGUGUGAUGAAACAGGUGGAGGAACUAGAGUGUGAUGAAACAGGUGGAGGAACUACAGUGUGAUGAAACAGGUGGAGGAACUACAGUGUGAUGAAACAGGUGGAGGAACUACAGUGUGAUGAAACAGGUGGAGGAACUAGUGUGAUGAAACAGGUGGAGGAACUAGUGUGAUGAAACAGGUGGAGGAACUACAGUGUGAUGAAACAGGUGGAGGAACUACAGUGUGAUGAAACAGGUGGAGGAACUACAGUGUGAUGAAACAGGUGGAGGAACUACAGUGUGAUGAAACAGGUGGAGGAACUACAGUGUGAUGAAACAGGUAGAGGAACUACAGUGUUGUGAAACAGGUGGAGGAACUACAGUGUUGUGAAACAGGUGGAGGAACUACAGUGUGAUGAAACAGGUAGAUGAACUACAGAGUGAUGAAACAGGUGGAGGAACUACAGUGUUGUGAAACAGGUAGAUGAACUACAGUGUGAUGAAACAGGUAGAUGAACUACAGAGUGAUGAAACAGGUAGAUGAACUACAGUGUGAUGAAACAGGUGGAGAAGCUAGUUAGUUAGCAUGAAUG